UUUCGGAUUUCGUUAAUUUUUCCCCCGAUCCUUAUUCUUCUCCCCGAUUCUCUCUGCCCGAAACCCCUCUCCGGCGAUUCCUCCUUGCCCGAUCGCCGACCACCGCGAGUUCACCGCCGGCAGCGACCUUUCCUCUGCGUGCCUCUCCGAUGCCAAGCUCUCUUGGCUACUAGGCGGCUCGAUCCUCUCCUCCCUCUCCCUGGCGAUUCCUCCCCUAACCCGCGAUGCCGACCCCGUGCCGCUCCGAUUAGCCAUUGCCGGACAUCCAUGAGCAGCUGGUGCUGGCCACCGCUUCCUGAGCCCUAGCUUCGGGUCUACAACCUUCUUCUUGAUCCAAGGUGCCGCCUCAGCACAACUUGAUCUUGGCCAAGAGCAAGAAUCGGAGCCCUAGUUUCGGUUCCUCGUUGCAGUAGUUGUGGAUCGCACGACACCAGCUGUAGGGAUUGAUUGAGGAGGAUGCUUCGGAUAAACCUAGUGAUGGAUCUUCCUUGAGAAGAACUUCUUCUUCUCCAAUUCUUGUGGCUGGGGUCUUUGGUAGCUCUCGGGUGAAGAGCUUGAUUUGGGAUCAAUUGAGCUGUUGGCAGGGUUAUGGUGGGAGCUGUGAGUGUGGAUCAGCUACAACCUUCCAAGGACUUUGAUAUGGGAUGAUCAUCACGACGUGGGAUUUAUUCUGGACACGGUCGACAAAUUAAGGCGGGUAUUUCUUCCUUUAC